rnacentral:rRNA from 1 species
AACGAACGCUGGCGGCAGGCCUAACACAUGCAAGUCGAGCGCGCCCUUCGGGGUGAGCGGCGGACGGGUGAGUAACGCGUGGGAACGUGCCCUUUUCUACGGAAUAGCCUCGGGAAACUGAGAGUAAUACCGUAUACGCCCUUUGGGGGAAAGAUUUAUCGGAAAAGGAUCGGCCCGCGUUGGAUUAGGUAGUUGGUGGGGUAAUGGCCUACCAAGCCGACGAUCCAUAGCUGGUUUGAGAGGAUGAUCAGCCACACUGGGACUGAGACACGGCCCAGACUCCUACGGGAGGAAGCAGUGGGGGAGAUUGGAAAAUGGGGGAAAGCAUGAUCCAGCAAUGCCGCGUGAGUGAUGAAGGCCUGAGGGUUGGAAAGCUCUUUUACCCGGGAGGAUAAUGACGGUACCGGGAGAAUAAGAUCCGGCUAACUCCGGG